GGACCAGACUCCUACGGGAGGCAGCAGUGAGGAAUAUUGGUCAAUGGUCGGGAGACUGAACCAGCCAAGCCGCGUGAGGGAGGAAGGUACAGAGUAUCGUAAACCUCUUUUGUCAGGGAACAAAGACUGGGACGCGUCCCCGGAUGAGUGUACCUGAAGAAAAAGCAUCGGCUAACUCCGUGCCAGCAGCCGCGGUAAUACGGAGGAUGCGAGCGUUAUCCGGAUUUAUUGGGUUUAAAGGGUGCGUAGGCGGUUUGAUAAGUUAGAGGUGAAAUGUCGGGGCUCAACCCCGAAACUGCCUCUAAUACUGUUGGACUAGAGAAUAGUUGCGGUAGGCGGAAUGUAUGGUGUAGCGGUGAAAUGCUUAGAGAUCAUACAGAACACCGAUUGCGAAGGCAGCUUACCAAACUAUAUCUGACGUUGAGGCACGAAAGCGUGGGUAUCGAACAGGAUUAGAUACCCCCGUA
rnacentral:rRNA from 1 species